rnacentral:rRNA from 1 species
CCUACGGGAGGCAGCAGUGAGGAAUAUUGGUCAAUGGGCGUAAGCCUGAACCAGCCAAGCCGCGUGAGGGAUGAAGGUUCUAUGGAUCGUAAACCUCUUUUAUAAGGGAAUAAAGAGUGGGACGUGUCCUGUUUUGUAUGUACCUUAUGAAUAAGCAUCGGCUAACUCCGUGCCAGCAGCCGCGGUAAUACGGAGGAUCCGAGCGUUAUCCGGAUUUAUUGGGUUUAAAGGGUGAGUAGGCGGCCUUUUAAGUCAGCGGUGAAAGUCUGUGGCUCAACCCGAGAAUUGCCGUUGAAACUGGGAGGCUUGAGUAUGUUUGAGGCAGGCGGAAUGCGUGGUGUAGCGGUGAAAUGCUUAGAUAUCACGCAGAACACCGAUUGCGAAGGCAGCCUGCCAAGCCAAGACUGACGCUGAGGCACGAAAGCGUGGGGAUCGAACAGGAUUAGAUACCCCUGUAGUC